rnacentral:rRNA from 1 species
UACAGAGGGUGCGAGCGUUGUCCGGAAUCACUGGGCGUAAAGGGCGCGUAGGCGGCUCGGUAAGCGUGCGGUGAAAGCCCGGGGCUCAACCCCGGGUCGGCCGUGCGAACUGCAGAGCUGGGGCACUGUAGAGGCAGGUGGAAUUCCGGGUGUAGCGGUGGAAUGCGUAGAUAUUCGCAAGAACACCAGUGGCGAAGGCGGCUCACUGGCCCGAUACUGACGCUGAGGCACGAAAGCGUGGGGAGCAAACAGG